rnacentral:misc_RNA from 2 species
CCCAACUAUCCCUAUUAAUCAUUACGGUGAUCCUAGAAACCAACAAAAUAGAAUCAUCGUCCUAUUUUAUUAUUCCAUGCUAAUGUAUUCAAGCAAUAAUGCCUGCUUUAAACACUCUAAUUUUUUCAAAGUAAAAGUCCUAGUUCAUUGAAACACCCGGUUAAGAAGACAUCACAAUUCACCAGAAGGUGAGGAAUUGGCUACGCCAGUUCGUACCCCUUAAGGCACGACCGAUGUAUCAAUCCCAAAAUUCAACUACGAGCUUUUUAACCGCAGCAACCUUAAUAUACGCUAUCGGAGCUGGAAUUACCGCGGCUGCUAAUACCAGACUUGCCCUCCAA